GAUGAACGCUAGCGGCAGGCCUAAUACAUGCAAGUCGAACGGUAACAUGAAUAGCAAUAUUUGAUGACGAGUGGCGCACGGGUGCGUAACGCGUAUGCAAUCUACCUUCAACUAGUGAAUAGCCCGAAGAAAUUCGGAUUAAUACACCAUAGUAUAAUUGAGUGGCAUCACUUAAUUAUUAAAACUCCGGUGGUUGAAGAUGAGCAUGCGUAACAUUAGCUAGUUGGUGAGGUAACGGCUCACCAAGGCAACGAUGUCUAGGGGAUCUGAGAGGAUUAACCCCCACACUGGUACUGAGACACGGACCAGACUCCUACGGGAGGCAGCAGUGGGGAAUCUUAGACAAUGGGCGCAAGCCUGAUCUAGCCAUGCCGCGUGAGCGAUGAAGGCCUUCGGAUUGUAAAGCACUUUAAGUUGGGAGGAAGGGUUGUAAGCUAAUAUCUUGCAGCUUUGACGUUACCAACAGAAUAAGCACCGGCUAACUCUGUGCCAGCCGCCGCGGUAAUAC
rnacentral:rRNA from 1 species